AGUCGAGCGGUAGAGAGAAGCUUGCUUCUCUUGAGAGCGGCGGACGGGUGAGUAAUGCCUAGGAAUCUGCCUGGUAGUGGGGGAUAACGCUCGGAAACGGACGCUAAUACCGCAUACGUCCUACGGGAGAAAGCAGGGGACCUUCGGGCCUUGCGCUAUCAGAUGAGCCUAGGUCGGAUUAGCUAGUUGGUGAGGUAAUGGCUCACCAAGGCGACGAUCCGUAACUGGUCUGAGAGGAUGAUCAGUCACACUGGAACUGAGACACGGUCCAGACUCCUACGGGAGGCAGCAGUGGGGAAUAUUGGACAAUGGGCGAAAGCCUGAUCCAGCCAUGCCGCGUGUGUGAAGAAGGUCUUCGGAUUGUAAAGCACUUUAAGUUGGGAGGAAGGGCAGUAAAUUAAUACUUUGCUGUUUUGACGUUACCGACAGAAUAAGCACCGGCUAACUCUGUGCCAGCAGCCGCGGUAAUACAGAGGGUGCAAGCGUUAAUCGGAAUUACUGGGCGUAAAGCGCGCGUAGGUGGUUCGUUAAGUUGGAUGUGAAAUCCCCGGGCUCAACCUGGGAACUGCAUUCAAAACUGUCGAGCUAGAGUAUGGUAGAGGGUGGUGGAAUUUCCUGUGUAGCGGUGAAAUGCGUAGAUAUAGGAANGGAACACCAGUGGCGAANGCGACCACCUGNACUGAUACUGACACUGAGGUGCGAAAGCGUGGGGAGCAAACA
rnacentral:rRNA from 1 species